CCUACGGGUGGCAGCAGUAGGGAAUCUUCCACAAUGGACGAAAGUCUGAUGGAGCAACGCCGCGUGAGUGAAGAAGGGUUUCGGCUCGUAAAGCUCUGUUGGUAGUGAAGAAAGUUAGAGGUAGUAACUGGCCUGUAUUUGACGGUAAUUACUUAGAAAGUCCCGGCUAACUAAGUGCCAGCAGCCGCGGUAAUACGUAGGGGGCAAGCGUUGUCCGGAUUUAUUGGGCGUAAGGGGAGUGAAGGCGGUUCAAUAAGUCUGAUGUGAAAGCCUGCGGCUCAACUGGAGAAUUGCAUCAGAAACUGUGUAACUGGAGUGCAGAAGAGGAGAGUGGAAUUCCAGGUGUAGCGGUGGAAUGCGUAGAUAUAUGGAAGAACACCAGCGGCGAAGGCGGCUCUCUGGACUGCAACUGACGCUGAGGCUCGAAAGCAUGGGUAGCGAACAGGAUUAGAUACCCCGGUAGUC
rnacentral:rRNA from 1 species